GCUUUGCUGGAGAAUGUAUGGAGCUAUGAUCAGGUCAAUAGUAGUGCUUUAUCUCUUUUCUGCUUUUUGUUUUGAUUUUGUUCAAUGCAACUUCAAAAUCAAAUGAAAGAAUGGAAGGGUAGGCUGAGUGGAGAACAGAAGCAUAUGCGUUCAGCGGAAGAGGUAAAGAAAGGGCAUAUUGAAGAGACUGUGAGCAGAAAGGAAAGAAAAUUCUCUGCUUAAAUACCAUGGUAAUUGUGAGUCAAGAAAUGCCUUCGGGUGGAUUUUCCCAAAGGACUCAGCAUGAUGUCAAUGGGAACAGUGCUUUAGAAAACCUCAGCUUGAACAAAUAUAGAAAAGGACAACAAUCAUUGGAAUUCGGUUAUCUAAAGCCACUACUCCUAAUCCUGGCCCUUGUCAGAGAGAAGAUUCUGGCAGGAAGCACCUCUGGCCACACCUGCUGUGACUGCUGUCCCGUUCCUGAAUUCCACCUACAUUGAUCCUUCUUUAGUGUUCACUCAGGUGCAGUCACAAGGAGUAGACGUUAUGUGUGUCUGGGGGAUUAGUACAAGGACUGCGUAUCAUCUGAGUUUGCUUUCUGCUUCAAGCAGUCCACAGACAGCAUGCCAGCCCUCUACAUGAAGUUGGCAUUGGGUCCACAGAGUGUGAGCUGGCUUCCUGAAUGGAUGAGAAGGCAGAAGGCAAGCCAAGUAAAAAAGCUAAUUUUCAAAGCCUGUGACUGGAAAAUGAAAGACAUAGAUGUAUAAAGAAAUAGCAGUAUUAUAGGUCUAGACAGACAUUAAUGAGCAUGUGCCCUAACGAUCAUAUCAAGGUUAUAAGCCACUGCUUAUGCACAAGACAAAUCUAGCUCAUCUAGCUCAAACACCGGCUGUUCAAACUCUGUCCUAAUUACAAGAUUUAUGCCUUUGCCUUUAUCCAAAGGGUUGAUCUGAAGGAAUGAAAGAGUAGUUCAAGCUCUAAGUCCCCUUGCUUCUU